CAGAACCGGCGUGAGACAUUAUGAAAGGCGUCCACCUGGGUAGGAUUCAAAGUGGUUUUAUUUUUCUAAAUCGAAGGCAACUUCAGUUGUGCUAAGUGGGAUAAAUUAUUCCGGCAACUUCUGCCUCUCGGUUGCCGUUUUGCGUGGGGAGACGUGGCCGCUGUCUGUGGAAGGAAAUAACACAGCGGCAUCAGGAGAAGACUUGGGCCCGAUGAUUAAAAUACAGGAAAGCCAUUUUUGCAAGAAGCAGCGGUGCCGUUCUGGCUUGCAGACCCUGCAUUUCGGAGCAUCAGGUCACCCGGCAGCCUCUUGGACGUGACUUUCGAGCUUGCAGAGGCUGAGAUCGGGAUGCGGCUCCCUCCACUCCCGCU